rnacentral:rRNA from 1 species
CACGCCCUAAACGAUGCAGACUAGGCAUCCGAAGUAUCGACCCUUCGGGAGCCGUAAGCUAACGCGUUAAGUCUGCCGCCUGGGAAGUACGAUCGCAAGAUUAAAACUCAAAGGAAUAGACGGGGACUCGCACAAGCGGUGGAGCAUGUGGUUCAAUUCGACGGUAAACGAAGAACCUCACCAGGGCUUGAAAUUCAGACGAAGUCCUGCCGAAAGGUGGGAUGUCUCACAAGGACGGCUGAACAGGUGCUGCAUGGCUGUCGUCAGUUCGUGGUUUGAGCUGUUCCCUUAAGUGGGGUAACGAACGCAACCCUUAUCCUGUGUUACAAGUGUCACAGGAGACUGCCCUCGUACAGAGGGAGGAAGGCGGGGAUGACGCCAAGUCAGCAUGGCCCUUUGAUGCCCUGGGCUACACACGUGCUACAAUGCCAGCCACAAUGGGUUGCGAUACCGUAAGGUGGAGCUAAUCCCAUCAAAAGCUGGCUCAGUUCGGAUUGAGGUCUGCAACUCGACCUCAUGAAGCUGGAAUCGCUAGUAAUCGCAGAUCAGCUAUGCUGCGGUGAAUACGUUCUCGAGUCUUGUACUCACCGCCCGUCAUUGCAGGGAAGCCGGGAGUACCCGAAGGAUUGAUAUUCAAUACGAAGGUAAGCUCGGU